rnacentral:rRNA from 1 species
CCUACGGGUGGCAGCAGUGGGGAAUUUUGGACAAUGGGCGCAAGCCUGAUCUAGCUAUUCCGCGUGUGGGAAGACGGCCUUCGGGUUGUAAACCACUUUUGUAGAGAACGAAAAGUCUAUUGAUAAUACCGAUAGAUGAUGACGGUACUCUAAGAAUAAGCACCGGCUAACUACGUGCCAGCAGCCGCGGUAAUACGGAGGAUGCGAGCGUUAUCCGGAUUUAUGGGGUUUAAAGGGUGCGUAGGCGGGAUGCAAAGUCAGCGGUAAAAAUGCGGUGCUCAACGCCGUCGAGCCGUUGAAACUGGCGUUCUUGAGUGGGCGAGAAGUAUGCGGAAUGCGUGGUGUAGCGGUGAAAUGCAGAGAUAUCACGCAGAACUCCGAUUGCGAAGGCAGCAUACCGGCGCCCUACUGACGCUGAGGCACGAAAGCGUGGGUAUCGAACAGGAUUAGAUACCCUUGUAGUC